ACUCAAAUGAAUAGACGGGGGCCCGCACAAGCGGUGGAUCAUGUGGUUUAAUUCGAAGCAACGCGAAAAACCUUACCUGGGUUUGACAUCUCCGGACAUCCCUAGAGAUAGGGCUUUGGUAGCAAUACCACCGGAUGACAGGUGCUGCAUGGCUGUCGUCAGCUCGUGUGGUGACAUGUUGGGUUAAGUCCCGCAACGAGCGCAACCCUUGUCUUUAGUUGCCAGCAUUCAGUUGGGCUCUCUAAAGAGACUGCCGUGGUUAACACGGAGGAAGGUGGGGAUGACGUCAAGUCCUCAUGGCCUUUAUAUCCAGGGCGACACACGUGAUACAAUGGAUGGUACAGAGGGAAGCGAAAGCGCGAGCUGGAGCUAAUCUCAAAAAGCCAUUCUCAGUUCGGAUUGGAGUCUGCAACUCGACUCCAUGAAGUUGGAAUCGCUAGUAAUCGCGGAUCAGCACGCCGCGGUGAAUACGUUCCCGGGCCUUGCACACACCGCCCGU
rnacentral:rRNA from 1 species